CCAUCUACUCGGUAGAUUACUUGGUAGAUUUCCCCAAAUGCGGGAAACUCAACUGCAUAAUUUGUGGUAGUGGGGAAUUGCUUCCCCU
ensembl:snRNA U1 U1 spliceosomal RNA